UAACCAGAGUCGGAAGGCUCUGCUGAAUCCUCAGGAGUCAGCAGAGGCCAUAGUACGCAAGUACGGGACGCCGGACAGCGGAAGGGC
rfam:Paenibacillus naphthalenovorans strain 32O-Y, complete genome.